GGGAUUAGGGAUCUCCUGCCCUUGGUCCUAAGUGCCACUGCCUGUGCUGAGUUUUUCAAACCUCAGAGCAGAUUGAACUUUUGUGGUUUCAUUUUCCCUGAUUUUGAUUUUUCUCAUGUGGAACCUGUGUUGCUGCAUUCAAGGCCUCUAAUACCAGCAUUUUGGGAGGCCAAGGCAAGAGGAUCACAAGGUGAGCAGAUCAAGACCUACGUGGCCAACAGAAUGAAAACCUGUCUCUACUAAACAAAAAAACUUAGCCAGAACUUUAAGUAUGCACUUUCAGUACCAGAAUGAAUGCAUCUUUGUGAAGAUACCAUUUAUGUACCAUAACAUCCAAAGCAUAAUGAGGAGAUUUUGAUACACUGAAGAUUUAGAACUGAGUUGGAAAACAAAACUUCAACAUACUGUCUUGUCAGCACAAAGCAAAUAAAUUCAUCACU